rnacentral:rRNA from 1 species
GACGAACGCUGGCGGCGUGCCUAAUACAUGCAAGUCGAGCGAAUCAAUAGGAGCUUGCUCCUGUUGGUUAGCGGCGGACGGGUGAGUAACACGUGGGCAACCUGCCUGUAAGACUGGGAUAACACCGGGAAACCGGUGCUAAUACCGGAUAAUCCUUUUCCUCUCAUGAGGAAAAGCUGAAAGUCGGUUUCGGCUGACACUUACAGAUGGGCCCGCGGCGCAUUAGCUAGUUGGUGAGGUAACGGCUCACCAAGGCGACGAUGCGUAGCCGACCUGAGAGGGUGAUCGGCAACACUGGGACUGAGACACGGCCCAGACUCCUACGGGAGGCAGCAGUAGGGAAUCUUCCACAAUGGACGAAAGUCUGAUGGAGCAACGCCGCGUGAGCGAUGAAGGCCUUCGGGUCGUAAAGCUCUGUUGUUAGGGAAGAACAAGUACCGGGGUAACUGCCGGUACCUUGACGGUACCUAACCAGAAAGCCACGGCUAACUACGUGCCAGCAGCCGCCGUAA